rnacentral:rRNA from 1 species
AACGAACGCUGGCGGCAGGCUUAACACAUGCAAGUCGAACGCCCCGCAAGGGGAGUGGCAGACGGGUGAGUAACGCGUGGGAAUCUACCCAGUUCUACGGAAUAACCCAGGGAAACUUGGACUAAUACCGUAUACGCCCUACGGGGGAAAGAUUUAUCGGAAUUGGAUGAGCCCGCGUUGGAUUAGCUAGUUGGUGGGGUAAUGGCCUACCAAGGCGACGAUCCAUAGCUGGUCUGAGAGGAUGAUCAGCCACACUGGGACUGAGACACGGCCCAGACUCCUACGGGAGGCAGCAGUGGGGAAUAUUGGACAAUGGGCGCAAGCCUGAUCCAGCCAUGCCGCGUGAGUGACGAAGGCCUUAGGGUUGUAAAGCUCUUUUGGCGGGGAAGAUAAUGACGGUACCCGCAGAAUAAGCUCCGGCUAACUUCGUGCCAGCCGCCGCCGUAAAAC